rnacentral:misc_RNA from 1 species
AAAAAACAUACUUUCUCUUUUCACUUUGAAUUUGCUUUCUCGCAUCUCUCACUUUCAUUCUUAUCUUGAAUUUAUCUUCAAUGGAGACUCCAUCAUCAACGAAAAGAGUCACAAGGUCGCAGACUCUGGCUGCUCUUAACAACAACAACAAUAAUUCCAUUUCAAGGAAGAUUGAAGAUUCUGAGAAAGGUGUUUCAAAAUCAACAAGAAGAAGUGGAAAACAACAAAAAGAUCGCUCUGCACUUAUUGAUAUAACUAACGAUUCCCCAAUUGUUGGACUUGCUAUGGGUAGCUUAGGGACCCCAUCAUCAGCCAUAGCCAAGCAAAGAAGCAAUAGAGUCAAGAACAACAAUACACCCGGCUCUGGUGAGGCAUUGCUUAGGGGUCAAGUGAAGAGCCUCUUGCAGAAGGUUGAAGAAGAGGCAGAGCUUUCAAAGAUCUCACUAGAGAACCGUCCCUUUCUCCAUAUUCAAGGAUUUGUUAGUUCUCCAAUGGGACUUCUUGCUCCGACUCCUGCUAAUACCCCACAAGUCCCUAAUCUCUCUGAAGCUGAUGGAAGCAUUGACAGCCCUAAUCCUUUGCCAGUAGUUGAAGAACAAUUGCAUAUUUGUCAGGUGGCGAGUGAUAUCUUUCAUGGUAAGGACUGCCUUGAAUCCCAAAAGAGUCUAACGAGGUCUUUAAUGUUGGACUUUUCUGAGAAAUCUGAAAUCACUGAUGCAUCAUCAGAAUGCCUUUCUGUGGUGACCACUUGCAAAGUAGACGAGUCAUUGACAAAAGAUGAUGGCAGUGCUUCUAACUGGUCCAAUCAGGUUAAUGCAAGCACCCAUGAGGAAGAAGAAGAAGAAGAAG